UAUUAUGUUCUCAAAGAGGUGUAUUUUCUGC
rnacentral:piRNA from 1 species